GUGUUCGCUUCAGCAGCACAUAUACUAAAAUUGGAACGAUACAGAGAUCAGCAUGUUCCCUGUGCAGGGAUGACACACAAAUUCAUGAAGCGUUCCAUGUAUUU
ensembl:snRNA U6 U6 spliceosomal RNA